GGCCUCGUAGCUCAGUUGGUCAGAGCCAAGGCUGUACCUGAGCCUUACCCUUGCUGGCGUGGGUUCGAAUCCCGACGAAACCA
rnacentral:tRNA from 1 species